AAGCGCCAAGCGACAGAGGGCCGCUUUUUUUACCUGAAGCGAUGGGAGGAGAAAAAGGCGCGCGCUUCAGGCCCAGAAGCGAGAAGCGACGGACCAGAAAAGGCGCGGAAAAGCUCGCUUAAGCGCUAUUUAAGUUUUUUCUUUUUUUAAAAAGAGUUUUAUUGGUUUUUUCUAUUUAUUCUAAUUAAAACCCUUAAGCGAAUUCUUCGACUGUGGAGCUGCUGCUUCUGCAACUGGUAUGUGACUUCUUCUUCUUCUUCUUCUUCUUUAUUUCUCUUUUCUUUUUCCUCUCUAUUUAUCUUCUUCUUCCUUGUUAUCUGAUUCUGUUUUUUCCCCCUCUUCUUUGCUAUUUCAAUGUUUCUUCUCUGUUCUUCUCAGUUCUGCUUUUGUUUUUCCUCUUCUUCUUCUCUGUUUUCCAGCUCUGGUUUUCUUCUUUUUUUGCUCUGUGUGUUCUUAGUUCUGACAUCUGUCUAUCUGUUUAUAUUUUCAUUAUUUUGUUUUCUCUUGUAGUAUAUUUCUUUAUUCAACGGCUCAAAAAAGAGAUCCAGCUUGGGCGUAUGGAAUUGCAAUAGGCAAUACUAAUUUAUUAUUUUGUUUGCUUGGAUGCUUGUUAUGCCUAUCUAUUGUCUUUUAAUUUAAGAAUUGAAAGAUUUUGUUAUUUAUUGAGUUCUUGGCUAUUUAUUUGUGCAUGCUUAAUAUUUUUAAAUUUCGUACUAAAUAGCGGUCUAAUGGAAAAAGUGUGUGCUUCGCUUCACACUUCUCACUUCUGUGAAGCGAGCCCUCGUCGCUUUUUUCCGUCUUUCGCUUUUCAAAACACUGAUUGGAAGAGUGACAAUUUGAAGUUCACAAACCAUUCUCCUUAUCCAAAUUGCUGCUCCAAGGUAAUUGUUGAAAUUUUUGUAGGCACUCCCUGGGUUGUCUUGUCUAUGGUUGAUUAACUGUUAUUAUGUCGGCUGGAGUAACAGAGUUAGUAUAUUUGCCAUAGAAAGAAUUUGUGAAGGAGAGAAACUCUUCUGUGAUUAUCAUUAUGAGCCAGAUGCAGUACCUGCCUGCGAAAGAAGAGGACCUCUUCUAUGAUUAUAAUUAUCAUCUGGUUCUAUGAAAGAGUUUCCUUCUCCUUCAAGUGCCGUACUUUUCGAUUGGCUCAUUCUUUUAACAAGAAGUUUAUUAUCUACAUUGACCACCUGAUCCACUUAGUUGGCGGACAAAACCAUUGCUUCUCCAGGAUAACUAACUUAUCAGAUAGUGUUUCAGUUUAUUAUAGGCUGCAUUCAGUGCCCGUUGGGUGUAGCCUUUGAAGCGGGAAAAUAUUUACAGGCUUGCUUAUAUCAUAUUAAUGGUUUACAUGUAAAACAACAUAAUGAAAUUGUAAACAUUUAUCUAGGACCCGUUUGGCCGAAUUUUUCACUUCCUCCAAAAAAAAAAAAUCAGUUUUUUUAAAAACACUGUUACUGUUCAAAACCUGUUUGCAAGUUUUUCAUUUAAACUUUUGACCCUUUUUUUUUAAAGUUUGCACCAUUUUUUUGUUUUUACAAAAACCAUCCCAUUUAUUUGAACCACCAUCCAGGGUAAAUGCCAACUAUCGUAGGCUGGCCACUUCCCCUCGAUACAUCUCUCAUGGAAGAGUGCAACUUCUACUCCUUUUUUCUCUCUCUAACUCAUCUCUACCGAUGGCACAUAAUCCUUAAUCCGGCCAGUCGUGUGUCUUUAGGCAGCACCAACAACAGCGACGACAUUCUUUGAUGGUAAUUACUAAAAUCUACUAUUAUUUGCUUGAUUUAUUUAGAUUUUUUAGAUUUGUGAACCCUAGGUUGAGAUUUUCAUACAUUUGGUUAUGUAUUCACAACUUUGAUUCUCUUUUCAGGUAAUAUGUUCAGAUCUUCAAUUUUUUUUUUUGCUCAACUGUUGGACAACAUAUUUUGUGCUUUUAUUUUUGGUUGAGUCAGCUUUUAUCUGGCUGCUGGAGCUGAUUAGGCAAGUAACACCUGAAGCUAAUUUUGAGAUUUCAGACGAAAAUUGUGUGGUUGCACCUCCACUGGUUAACAGGGUAACAUAAUUUAAAGUUUUAUUUUCCCUUCAACCUUUCUUAUUGCGCAUGUUUUCAGUUGUUCUUCUGUUUAAAAAUGAAGAUAUUUAUGCAACCGGUUAUUUAUUAUUAUACUGUAGAAAUGUAAAGGAAUCAGUAAACCACUUGGUUCAAACUCCGAUACAUGGAUGGAAGAAGAGACACUGAUUCUGAUCAAUAUCCUACAUGAUGAUACGAUGAAGUACGGAUUUAAUGGUCCAUGUUGGAGGGAAGUUAUAGAUGAGUUUUGGUUGAAAUCUGACAAGAAAGACACUUGUACGAACACCAAAUUAAGUCCAAGUACAACAGCUUAAAGAUCGAAACAAUUAAAAAAUUCAAGGACAUCCUUCAAGGUUGCUCUGGAUGUUGUUGGGAUCCUGAAAAUUACGUAUUUACUUGUCCAUCUGCGAUUUGGGCAGAUCAUGUAUUGGUAAGUUAGCUAGAUGAGUAAAAGUAUGUAUAACCAUGUACAGGUAGAAGGGGGGAUUCAACAUUUUGGUUGUCAUGAUGGUCUUAGGUCUACACAUGCUCACGUAGUGGUACUGGGACUGGUAAGCGAACUAUGGCUAAUCCAUCUAUUGUAACUGAUGAUGGCACAUCUACAUGUUGAAAUAAAAAGUUGUACUAUAGCUAUUGACGGCAUACAUGAAUCUUCUAGGAGGCAUUUGAAGUGAAAAAGAGAUGGCGUGGAGGCAAAAGAAAAAAAAAUGGAAGAAAGUGCACGACUGGUAAUACCCUUUAAGAUGGUUAUCUACUCUGAGCAAGUCGUCAUUACCCAAUUGCAAUAUAUCAUGGAAAUAUUUUGUAUUUCGACAAUAAGCAACUUUCUCUGGUUGUGCCUCACUUGCAUAACCCGGCUUGCAAGAUGUUUGUCCAUAUAGAAAAUGGCAAAUUCAGUGGGUUAAGGACUUGGGACAAUUUUGAGAAAAUAGUUUUUAUAAUUGGUUAUGUUGUUCUCUAGUGCGAUGAAACGCAAACUUUUUACACGUGUAAUGGUUUAUGUGUAACGAUUCUCUGUGGCAGAUUCACUUGGUGUGGGAUUUGUAGUAAUGUCUCUAUUUGUAGUCUGAAUAUUGCUUUUAGUCAUGUUUCUUUGUUUAUGCAUGUUAUUUGGUUCUCUGGUCUGUACUAUAAAUGCUGUCAUUGUAUUAUUUUAAGUUUAGCAGGUUGGUUGUAGUGUCCAUUGAAAUACAGGAAGCAUAUCUAGCAGAGACACUUGGCGAAACAACGGCAUUGAGGAUUGCAUCUUAUACAUUGCAGUUUCUGAUCAGAGAAAUUGCUUGCAAUAACAGGUCAUUAUCUCGCACACGCAAUAUACAUCUAGGCCAAAUAUGACAUGGAUUGUUGAUCUUCUUUGGGGACAUCACAUAAGUAUGUAUGAAUUUACACGUUUCUAUCUGAAACAUUUCGUCGGCUAUCGAGCGAUGCAUGUUCCAGUUGAGUAUGUAGCUACUUUUCUUACUGUUGUUGCACGUGAAGAGAUAGUCAUCGCUUGGCAAGCGAAUGGAUUCAACAUUCACUCGAGACAAUAAAGCAAUUAGUCGACAGGCUCCAACAUUUAUAUUCCCAACAACUAUUCUGGCAUACAUCCGAAGAUUUCAUAUAGUAGCUGCUUUUGGAUUACACUGGCUAUGUUAUUGCUUAAGCUGCUUGGCAAGGUACUGCACACGAUAGUAGAGUGCUUGAGAAUGUGAUUGUUGAUCCAGAGGCAGUUGAUCAAGAAAUGCGUGCUUGGCGAAAAGAGAUUGUUCAGAGUGGGAAAAUUAUAUUCAAGUAUAGCUACUUACUAGUUUUGUUAACUUUUUGUUCUAAUGACUUGCAAUAGUAUCAAAGAAUUGGAUGUGGAAUAGUAUGUAGGAGCUCUCGUAUAUGGGAUUCUAAUCUAUGACAACAUUAUGUGACUACGUAGUAGCUCUCGUAUAUGGGAUCUAAUCUAUGUCCUUAUGUGACUAUUUUUUAUGAGAUAUUGUUCUUUUAAAGCAAA